GGUGCAGCGGGGAGCCCCGAGAGCGGCCCAAAUGGACCUGCUCUCUUUAAAAAGACAGCAGCUAAUUAUGCUAAUUCCACAUUAGGGCUGCAGAGCCGACAAGCGGCGAAUGGUGAAUGUUGAGUCCCUGCAGCCACACGCGCCGGGAACGCCGAGCCCAGCGCUCGCUCGGAGGAACCCCCAUUUUAAGCACUAUGCCCUCCUCCCUCAAGGACAGGAGGUUCGCGCUCAGACCGAAGUUAAUCCAGGUUGUAACCAGAGUGCCCACACCACACGCACGCAAAAAGCCGAGAUCAAGGUCCAGACACGGAACACCCCCAGGACAGCGGAGCAAACUCGGUCUCCGGCUCCUUGCCUGCUUCAAGUCCCAGGCUGCAACUCUGCCAUUAGGCAGACACUCCACAGCCUCUUCCCAACAAUUUCCAUAGGUAACCGCUCUAACAGCGGCUGAAACAGAGAAUCCCAGCACCCUGUAACAUUAAAAAAAAAUCUGCAGGGUGUUUCCAGAUGUUACCCUGAAUGUGCAGAAACAGUAAAGAAGACAGUUCAGCAAAAGGAUAUGGUGACGCAGGUAUGAGCCUGCUGUGAGGAGCCUUGCUCCUGAGUCAGCCCAACACAGCCACCAUUCACUAUUUUUAUACAUAUAUAGGGAUAUUUGAGGAACCAAAAGGGUGAGCACCAAGCAACCAGCCAAUGCUCCCAGCACGCUUAAAUGAGAGUGCUUCACACCAUUUACUACGACCUUCAACACUACACCACAACGUUUAUGGAAACUAUCGAACUGAGGUUGUUGGGAGUAGUGUGUCUUAACUGACCGAUGGCAUCUUCUGGACAGCCAGCAUCACAGUAAGAGUUAUGGUGAUACCUGGAGCAGCAAGGAAUUAAGACAUAGUGAGUUGAAAAUACCAGCUGCUUUUUACACUCCACCUCUAAGUUUAACCCACUCAAGAGAUUCAUUUUACAAAGUUGGAAACAAACUAUCACAUUAAAAAACCCCACAAACCAAAGAACCAUUAUUUUCAAUUGUUCAUCACUGGCUCUAUUAGGUCUUGCAAAUUAUCGGUUUUCAGGCACAGAAAAGGAUUACUUCACACUGCUAAUGCUGCCCCUACUUGUUAACAGUAGCAAUGCUCGGAAUCCCAAUGGCACAAAAGCAGUCACUACCCUAAGUGUCACAACUAUCAUGGCAUUUACUGGUGCCCCAGCGGCAAAAAUGGCCUGCAAUCAACAUGCUCAAAAUUCCAGCAAUCCAUGUAUACCAGCAUUCCCAAGGAUUCAGCACUGCUGGAGCUACACCAGUGCAACCAAGCCUUUACUUCAGGGCAUUUGCAAAGCGACAAAGUCUUCAGAAUACAGAGGACCAGAGUUUUCUAAGGAGAGGUGAAGAGUGGAUGUUAUACUAGACCAGAGACAUGAAGCAUUUUUCUCCAUCUUAAGCAAAACGUCGUGAUGAGUGAGAAGCCUGCUUCUCAACAGCUCAACUUUAAACCUGAAAGCUAUAAAUAACUCCUUGGCUGCUGAUAAUCCCAACAGAAUCAUCCUGUCAGAUUAUUCAUACCACUAAAGUCAACUCAAGAUCGAAGGUUUCCUUUCGAACCACCAGUAACACUCAUCAGGUUCCAUACAACAGUAUGUUUAUCAAACCCAGCAGCAGUAACUAAAUUAAAACUGAUAAGGUGGUAAGCAGCCUUGUGCAGAGGAAAGGGGGAACGGUGCUUAUUCACUGGCAGCAGCAAUUACAAGAGCUAAAGACAACAUUUCUAAAAAUCAUUCACAUGCGGGACAGGAUUGGAAGAUACCGUGCCUUUCCAACUAUCUAGUUCUUACAAUCUUCCUGUAUUUAUUUAGAAGAGUAUCAAAGUUUCCUAUGUUAAACUAUCCUUUUGUUUUGUUGGCUUUUACAAG